GGCCGCGUAGUGUAGUGGUUAGCACGCAGGAUUUUGAAACAAAUUUCCUGAGACCUGAGUUCAAUCCUCGGCGGGGCCU
rnacentral:tRNA from 2 species